UCCUCUGAUGGAUUCUUUUCCCUUGCUUCUUGACCUUCAAGCUUCGAUGAGUUAGCGAUGGCUUCUGAUACAGCCUUUGGUAGCCAAAAUCCAGGUCUUUCAAUAGAGGCUGCACGAUCAAGUACCAAUGGUUCACGCAAUGUGAUCUGAAUGCCAUCAUAUGUCCACAUGACAAAAUCUGCUUCGCCUUUCAAACCUAGGGAGAACCAUCCUAAGCCAGCAACUGCAACAUCCAUGCUCUUGACAUCCCAGCUCGUUCCACGUGCUUUUACUUCCCUCUUUUAUUCCAUUGUCUCAACUCAGAAACUCGCUCCAUGGAAAUGGGAGGCUGAAGAUCAACAAAUGAAAACAGAACAAUUAGCAUGGUUCUGUGUUCUUUCCGAUUGUUUUCCUUUAAACUUGAGUAAAUUGAAACCAUCUAAGAGCCAUCGAUAAACCAGAACAAUUAGGAUUUGUUUACACAUACAACACUAUGACAUCUGCUAUCAGGCUAACAUGGAACAUGGAUUUGUUUUUGCAACUACGGCUUCUCAUUAGCAAAUAAUACACAUUGAUCUUCAACCAAAAACAUACUGAUACAGUUCGAAUGGAAUUGGCUAUAAAGUAGGAAAUAAUAUUGAAUCAGAAAUACUGCAAAGAAUUGGAGUAUUACCUGCAAUCACACUCCAGUAUGGUUGUUCUUGAGCUCAUCGGCAUUUCCUCUCUUCCCUAGAUGAAGAGGCGACACACUUGGUGAUGCCCAGACGGUGACAUAGAUUGUUUCUACUGAGGCAAAAACUAGAUCGAGUCUAACUAUGCCCCCAAUAUGUACAGUCUGCCCACGUGCAAGAAAAUUGUGAAAAUACAUUUUAGAGUCGAAAAGUACUUUUUGAUCUCAGGCAAGAAAUUGAGUUGCAGUCAUGUAUAUCUUUUAACUGCAAUAUAAAACUAAAAAAAAAAAAAAAAAACAGAUACAGAUGAGGGACGAAUAAAAGGAGUUAUCUGAAUCCCAAACCAUUUGAUAAGAGGUCAGUUUACAAUGAUUUAAGGUCAUUUUGUCAAAUUUCUCUCCAUUUCGAAGUUCACAGCACCUCGCACUGGCUUCAUCAAUAUGCAUCACAGGAUUCUUCAAAGUAAAGUGAAGUAAGCCUUCAGUUAAGAGGAAACUAAAAAAUACAAACAACUAUCUUCAAACCAAUUACGCUCACUCAAAAAGCUUAAAACAAUAAGAAAUCAAACACUAAGACCUUUAAGUGCUUGGCAGAAACGCCCCCCAUCAAUACCUUUAAGAUUAUGAAGAGGCCAAAAUAAGACAUCAUAUACACUUGAAAAGCUUCACAACGUAUAGUUCCUCUUCAACAGCUCCACGUUUUUCAUUCUCUCAGGAAUCUCCUUUAAAUUUGGACAGUCAUGGAUACGAAGACCUUUAAUCAGAGGCAUGGCACUUGUACCUAAAUGCCAUGUUUCUAGGUUCUCGAGAUCAUAAAGAAUAAGGAACUCUAGUUGACUGAAGCUGUUAUCACUGCACAUUAUUUCUUUUCCUUCAUAAGCUCUAAACAAAUCGAGAUUCCUUAGGUUGGGCAACAUUCCCAAAAUAGGCAUCGGAUCUUCUUUCAGUACGGAGAACCUCAGAACCAUCAUUGUGAUGGAACUUAGAAACAGAUUAGGCAGUUUCUCUAUUCUCCCUUCUAACCACAAUUUCUGGAGCUUUUGACAAGAAUUAACAAAUUCAAGAGAUGGGAAUGAUUCAUCAUAAUUUUUACACACCAAUGUGAGAGUGCUAAGGUUUUUCAAGCUGCUAAUGUUGUUUAGGGAGUAAGAUCUCUUAAUAUAAGCCAUGCCUAAUUCUCUAACAUUGACUAAAUCAACAGGGUCAACGUAUUUCCAUUGAUCACAACCAACACCUUUAAGAACUUGAAGACUAGUAAGUUUGCUUAUAUGCACCAGAGGUUCUGAAUACUGAGCAACUAAAUGUCUUAAAUUUAUUAGGUCAGCUGUCUUGCGGGGUAGUUGGAAAGUGUAAUCCGCUUCAUUGACAACAAGUGUCUGUAGAUUCUUGAGGUUGCCAAUGGAAGACGGAAGCUCAUCGAUACCUCUCAAGCUUAAGAACUUGAGGUGGUACAAACUCCCAAUGGAUCCAGGUACAACACCACCAUAUUUAAUAUUCAAGUACAACACAUAUAGAUGUCGAAACAUAUCUAUAUGUUGGAACACAUUACGAAAAUGUGGAUCGAAGACCAUAAUUGACCUCAACUUUAAGUUAGAAAGAUCAAGUGAGGGGUACCUUUGUCCUUGACUAUGAAUGACAUGUCGGAUACAUACAGAGGAUAUGGAGUGGCUUGUUGGAUCAUAAACGUCAAAGAAGUUUACCUCCAAUGCCUUUUGUAUCGCAAGAUCAUGGAGUAAAUCAUGAACCCUACAUUCAGUAACUUUUUCCCAAAAUGUAUUAGCCACUUGAACCAAGCUUCGUCUUAUCAGCUCAUUCAAGAAGCUUUCAGCGACAUCCUCCAUUCUUUCUCCUCUGGGUAUGAAACCCUCUGCCAUCCACAACCGUAUUAUGUUAUCAGCCUCGACCACUUGAUCUUCUGGAAAAAUACCAAAGUAGAGAAAACACUGCUUGAGCGCAGUUGACAAAUCAUUGUAGCUUAAUGAUAGUAUGUUAGAGAUUUCAAUAGAUUUAUCUUCUUUAAUGUUCUUCCAAAGGUGAUCUUUCACCUUUUGCCAUUCGUUUAGCCCCUUUUUAUGCGAAAGUAGUCCGCUCAAUACAACAACUGCAAGAGGUAAGCCUCUACACUUUUCCACCAUAUCCUUAGCUAGACUUUCCAUUUCUGGAACCAUUGCUCGAAUAUCAAGUAGUUUCCUAAGAAAGAGAUCCCAACUUUCUUGUUGACUUAGGAAACGAAGUUUAUGAACAAAACCUCUGUCAUCUGCUCUUUCGGCGACAUCCUCUUUGCGCGUGGUAAUAAUAACUCUGCUGCCAUUCUUGCCAUCCGGGAAUGCUCUUUUCAAACUCUCCCAUGCUUCUCUCUGCCAUACAUCAUCAACCACCACAAGGUAUUUGCAUUCUUUCAAUAGAUCACGAAGGUGAAAUUCUAGAUCUCCUUCUGUCAUAGUUCCUAACAAUUCUAGAGUUCCCUUGGUGCGACCUUGGAUGGAUUUUAUGAUAGUCUUAAGAAGAUCCGUUGUGUUGUACUCUUGAGAAACACAUAUCCAAGCGCGUUUAGGGAAGCUAGAGACUAUAUUAGGACUUGUGUAUAGGUUUCUUGCAAGAGUGGUCUUGCCUAAUCCACCCAUGCCAUAAAUGGACACAACACUUCGACGAGGCUCUGGUCUGAGAAGUUGAGCUAGCAAUGUUUGUACAACAUCCUGAAAGCCAACAAAAAUGUAAUCCUGGUCAUCCACAUAUGAAGUAGUUCUCCUCAAUGUUCUAACCAUGGCAGACUGGUUAUUUGGUCCUUCUCCCGCAUUACUAUUGAUAUUUGUAAUACCAUAUGUCUCUCGUUUGCGAGCGAUGUCCAUGAUUUGUUUCUUGAGUGAUUGAAUCUCCUUGGUGACAUUGUAUAAUUUCUUCUCCUUCCUACAGAUGCAAGCACAAGCCUUGAGACGAUUAACACGUUUACCAGCCUCGAAGCUAUAAGUCUCGAGUAUAGCAACAGCCUCAUUAGCAAUAGAGUUGAUCUCAAACACCCAUUGUUGAAUUCUUUGAUCUCCACUUUGCUUUAGUUCUGCAUCUUUGAGGAAAGACUGCAUGAACAGAAGCUCGUUUCGCAGCCACUGUAUAUCCUCUCUCAGACUUGUAAGUAGGUUAAUUUCCUGAAUGAGGAAAUCACCCAAUUUUUUAACUGCAAAUGACACAAACGCAUCAGCCAUAUUUAGUUUUGAUUGAAAAUAAGAGGGGGCUAGCUGUAUAUUGGAAUGAAUAUUCGAAAAUGGGAGAUGGAGAUCAUAUACAGUCAAAAGCAAUUGACAUAAAAGUUUAGAACAAAUAAUGUGUUGAAAGGGUCCGCUUAUGACUUAUGUGAUUAAAGUUUAGAAAAAAAAAAUUACGAUUAGUGCAAAUGAAAGUUCCCAUUAUCAAAAAGGGAAAAAAAUAUAUUUUUAAAUUUCCCACUAAAGCGAAAGGUACCUUUUUUUUUUGGAAUAUCACACUGCUCCUUGAUAAAAUAUGAUUGUUGUGGUAAUGGUUGUUAGUUGUAUUAAAUAUAUAGUAACUCUGUUUUAUCAUUUAAUCUAACUUUUUUGUAUUAGUUUUAUUCCACGCCUGUAGUUUUGUCUUUCGAAUAAUUAAUGACAAUAUAUAAACGACAGAAAACAAUACAAUGUAUGUAUUUAUCAAAGGAGGAAUAGGAAAAAUAUGGAUUUAGAAAAGACUAAAAUCCCCAGAGAGAAAUGAAAACAAGGAAUUUUAACAGGUUCCUAUUUUCCACUAUAAUGGCAUGUGUUCUCUCCUCCCUCUUGUUUUUAUCUGUUCUCCUUCAUAUGGGAUUCUUUUUUCUGUUUGUCUAAUCCCUUUUCAACCCACUCAUAUUCAAUCCAAUCCGCCCAUUUUAAGUAGUCGUCGUACAAGGUUCACAAGAAAAUUGACUCAGCUGCCUCUUUUUGUUGGAUACUUAUGAAAGUUGCAUGGUCUCCUCUGAUGGAUUCUUUUCCCUUGCUUCUUGACCUUCAAGCUUCGAUGAGUUAGCGAUGGCUUCUGAUAUAGCCUUUGGUAGCCAAAAUCCAGGUCGUUCGAUAGAGGCUGCACGAUCAAGUACCAAUGGUUCACGCAAUGUGAUCUGAAUGCCAUCAUAUGUCCACAAGGCUAAAUCUGCUUCGCCUUUCAAACCUAGGGAGAACCAUCCUAAGCC
rnacentral:lncRNA from 1 species